rnacentral:rRNA from 1 species
AGCGAACGCUGGCGGCAUGCCUAACACAUGCAAGUCGAACGAGAUCUUCGGGUCUAGUGGCGCACGGGCGCGUAACGCGUGGGAAUCUGCCCUUUGGUUCGGAAUAACAGUUGGAAACGACUGCUAAUACCGGAUGAUGACGAAAGUCCAAAGAUUUAUCGCCAGAGGAUGAGCCCGCGUAGGAUUAGCUAGUUGGUGUGGUAAAGGCGCACCAAGGCGACGAUCCUUAGCUGGUCUGAGAGGAUGAUCAGCCACACUGGGACUGAGACACGGCCCAGACGCCUACGGGAGGCAGCAGUGGGGAAUAUUGGACAAUGGGCGAAAGCCUGAUCCAGCAAUGCCGCGUGAGUGAUGAAGGCCUUAGGGUUGUAAAGCUCUUUUACCCGGGAUGAUAAUGACAGUACCGGGAGAAUAAGCUCCGGCUAACUCCGUGCCAGCCGCCGCCGUAAGAC